rnacentral:rRNA from 1 species
AACGCUGGCGGCAGGCUUAACACAUGCAAGUCGAGCGGUAACAGAGAUAGCUUGCUAUUUGCUGACGAGCGGCGGACGGGUGAGUAAUGCUUGGGAAUAUCCCUUAUGGUGGGGGACAACAGUUGGAAACGACUGCUAAUACCGCAUAACGUCUACGGACCAAAGGGGGGGAUGCUUCGGCACCUCCCGCCAUUUGAUUAGCCCAAGUGAGAUUAGCUAGUAGGUGAGGUAAGAGCUCACCUAGGCGACGAUCUCUAGCUGGUUUGAGAGGAUGAUCAGCCACACUGGGACUGAGACACGGCCCAGACUCCUACGGGAGGCAGCAGUGGGGAAUAUUGCACAAUGGGCGAAAGCCUGAUGCAGCCAUGCCGCGUGUGUGAAGAAGGCCUUCGGGUUGUAAAGCACUUUCAGCGAGGAGGAAAGGUUAGUGGUUAAUAGCCACUAGCUGUGACGUUACUCGCAGAAGAAG